AAAAAAAAUGGGCGCAACGCCCAUCUUUUUCAACCGAGGUCGCACCCGGGCAGCGAAAAAACUACGUGCCCAACAACUUCAUAAUUUUAGCCAUUU
rnacentral:sRNA from 1 species